CCCCACAUAGUUUAAAACGCCAAAGUCUUCUUCUUCUUCUACAAUAUCUGUUAAACUCUUUCAACACAGUUUUAAAAAAGUUCUCAAAUCUGACGCUUGAUCAUCUUUUAUCAUAUUUUUCUUUAAUCUUCUGCAUGUUAAGUUUUUGAUUUUCUCUAAUAUUUAUUUUUCUUUGUUCUUGACAUGAUUUUUUAUUUAUAAUAGUUAUUGAUAGCUAAAAAAAACAUGAAGAUAUGGUGAACUUCAAGAUCAAUGGAGGAUAAUUAAAAAUAUGUUCAAGUAUCAAGAUCCAUCUCCAUCAUUGGACAAUUUGCAGUUCUUAUUCUACAAGGAGAAGACAAAGAGUAUACAAAGAAUACUAGAGUUUGUAAGAUGGAAUGAAGAAAUUUGAAACAAAAGCAAGAAUGAUGGCUGAAAUUUAUAUUGAUUGUGUUUGUUUGAUAUGUUGUUUCCUCUCUUUUUUUGUAAAUCAUUUUUUUUAUCGUAAUGUGUAACAGAAAAGGUAUAAUGAAAGUUUUUAAUUUUA